AAUCAGUCAGGAGUAGAGCUUCUACUGAGCCCCCUCGGGUCUGGAAUUUUGCUGAAUGAUCUGAAGAAGAAAAAUCACUAGGAUGACAUGUAUUUUCAGUGGAUCAGAGCUCAUAACUCUCACGAGGAGAUGCUCAGAACACGGAUCAGCAGCAGGCAGAGAGCUCUGGAAUUAGCCAUCACUGCUCCUGGGCGUCUUGACUGUGUCUCUCCUGGGGGCCCCCGGGUGGCUGCAGAGUGGAGCACCCCCUUCCCAGCAUGCCGUGUUUGUAAUCAGCUCAUGAGAACCAGGAGGAUGUCAAUACAUAACGGCAGUUCCCUGGCUCACUUGAGAGCACAGGUGGGAAUACUUUCUGAUGUCACCCUCUCCUUUCUAAGAGCACCCCACGUGCACUUAGGAGGGUGCCGACCUUUCCUUUUCUCAUUUGCUUUUAUGGAGCAGCUCUCGACAGCAACACCUUUUCCUUCCUUACCCUCCUGGUGCAACCCUUACAAAAUGGUUGAAUCUAGUCAUAGGGACUCACUCUUUAAAAUCUCUCCAAAUUAUAAAAUUAGGAAAUCUAAUUCUUAUCUUAACAUGCUUCUAGUUUCAAAAAGUAAAAUCUGGCACUUGCGUGGUUUCAAGGAAUAGAAUCUGGCAAAUGGAAGUAACCAGAAUGAAAAUAGCCAGGUGCUGUCAGCAACCAGGAAGCUGACCUUCCACCCUCUCUUUCCCCUUGGUGAUCAACACUGUCAUUCAGGACUAGAAGGGAUGAACGAAAAGCUGGAUUCGAUAAUCAGUCCUGUUUGAACAAAGAUUGCAGCAGUCUCUCAGGCUUAUUUUGAGGUGACCUUUUAUGGAUCCCCAGUGACUGCCUUUGGCAUAAUGACAUGUGUGAGUCAGAUCGUCUCCAGCCCCUUCCUGCAGACCGUGUUCCUUUCAUCGUGGCCCCUACAGAGCCUAGCUGGUCUGGUGAAAUGGGUGGAGCUCUGGGCUCUUUGCGGACUUUUUACAAGCUGCACAGCUGUCUAGGGAGGGGCAGGAUUGCUAUUCAUCCAGUCUGUGAUGGGACCUUUCUUCCCAACCUCCUCCUCAAGGGAAACACAGAGGCUGCCUUACCUGACAGAGGUCUUGGGGACAAGCCUGGAAACAUUGGAUUGGGGUCUUUCUGUGCUUUGGGGUGGAACUGUUUUGCUAACAGCUCAGGAAUCCUGCUCCGAGUUGAGCUCGGCUGGCUCUCAGAGCAGAGGUACCUGGUAUUCUCAGCAUUUCUCAGGGGCCGCCCACCUCCCUGAAUUGCAGUGUUAGCUAAUAAAUACCUUCAGCUUGGAACUGAGAGCUGUAAUUCAGAGCCAUUUUCUGCCCCCAGCGUGAACACUGUAAGAUGUUACUGCAACUUCCUUUGACUGAACUUUCUUGCCAGUUUGGAAUCUUUAAAAUCUAUCAAACUUCUCCUUUCAAAAGUAAGGUUACUCUUCAUCAGAGAUGAUUUCCUGUGUAUGUCCUUAGUUCCUUCAAUAGUCAACUGACUUGCUUGAGGAUAUAUAUGUAAAUGGGAUAAAAAAGGGUUUACAUAUGCAGAUGACUAUUAAAUGUGUAACCUUAUGUAACCUGUGUUACAUCAAGUAACAUGCUAAUCUGUUUUGUUUCACUGGACUGUAAUUGUGCUACUUAAUUCAGUAUUUUGAAGUUUUCCUUGGUCUCUGUCUUUAAUAUGUUGUCAGUUUUUAUAUCAUUCAAGCCAGUUGACAUUUAAUAGGCCUCAUUUCGGAUGUCCAGACAAGUCCCUAAUGUAGAAACCGGUUUGUUCUUAAGGUUCUUGAGUCAGUCCACGGAAGCCUUCUGACAUCCAGCACCACUGAACUGCAGGGCUCUCAGCCGUGCGUGGCUGGCUGGCUGGCUGGCUGGCAAGGGCUGACCUGGACAUUUCACCACCUAUCGAGUUCUUGCUGUGAGACAUGCAUUCCAGAGUGGGCACUUGGGAUCCUGAGAACACGUUCUUCUCCCCGAGGUGUCCACUUGCUACCAUGCAAGAUGGAAGUCCAAUCUCAUUACGACUAGCUAGUUGUAAGGAGAGGGGGAGGGGGAGACAUUUGUAGGACAUUCCCUGAGUUGGGGAGUGAUUAAUAUUCAAAUGUCAACUUUACUUUUAUAGACUCUCUCGAAAAUAUUAAAAGCCUUAAAUAAAUCUAUGCAUGCUCUUCUAUGUGCUUUUUUUAUAUCAGUAAAUAAGCUUAUGCUUGCCAGUUUUAUACGCAGUUAUGAAGUGUAUGAAACUGACUUUUGACAGUAUUUUUGCACUGUUUCUUAUCUGUUUUUAUAAAGUCUUUAGAUAUUGGUCCUAGUUGUGUAUUGUUUUACGUCCUCACUGCCCUUGUCAUUGCUGUAAAAUGUUUCAUAUGUGCCUUUACAAAUGUGAGAUCUUUAUUCUAACCUUUUUUGUAAAAGAUAUCUAUUGACUUCCAAAUGCAAUAAACUUUUUUUUUUUUUUUCCAGAGAAAACAGUUGAGUCUUUUCUGUACUCUGUAUGUUUUGCCUUAGUUGAAAGCAUCUG
ensembl:lncRNA